rnacentral:rRNA from 1 species
ACGCUCGACACCUACGGGAGCAGCAGUGGGGAAUAUUGCACAAUGGGGGAAACCCUGAUGCAGCGACGCCGCGUGGAGGAAGAAGGUCUUCGGAUUGUAAACUCCUGUUGUUGGGGAAAAAGAGGAUGGUACCCAACAAGGAAGUGACGGCUAACUACGUGCCAGCAGCCGCGGUAAUCUGAGGCGGGCUGGCAAGGC